GACGUAGGGCGCGAGCGUUGUCCGGAUUUAUUGGGCGUAAAGAGCUCGUAGGCGGCUUGUCGCGUCGAAUGUGAAAACCCACGGCUCAACUGUGGGCUUGCAUUCGAUACGGGCAGGCUAGAGUUCGGUAGGGGAGACGUGGAAUUCCUGGUGUAGCGGUGAAAUGCGCAGAUAUCAGGAGGAACACCGGUGGCGAAGGCGGGUCUCUGGGCCGAUACUGACGCUGAGGAGCGAAAGCGUGGGGAGCGAACAGG
rnacentral:rRNA from 1 species